ensembl:misc_RNA 7SK 7SK RNA
UGACUAUGAGGGUGAUUUGGCUGUGACAUCUGUCACCCUAUUGCUCGCCUGUUGAUUUGGCUGAUCUGGCUGGCUGGGCAUCCCCUUCCUUCCUCACAGCUCUUUGUGUGACCCUCGCGAAGCUGCAAGUUCAGUGGAGGAGGAUGGCUACCCCUUUUGGAGGAGGACUGACUGACUCCUUGGUCAGGGGUAUGCCAGUAGCUGUGCUCCCCUCUGGAACCUCCAAAUGAGCUCUCAAGGAAUUGGCUCUUGCAGUUAUGGGGGCUAAAUCCCUUAAUCUGCGGGCUGAAAGUUUAAGCCCAGGAGA